UAUAGUGAAUACAACCCAAAUUUCGCAGAGAAAAUAUCUCCCCUACCCAUCAAACUAUGACGGCUUCUUCUGGUGUGGACAGGUACCUCUCUUGAUUUUCUUGCAACAUUCUGUUGAUCAUGAAUUCGAUCUGGGUUGUUCCCAUUUUUUACAAUUGUAAUUGCAUUAACACAAAAUGGAAAAAGAAACAGCUAGACUGCUUAGUGUUGUAUUACUGUGAUCUUUUCUAGCAUUUUAGAAUUUCAUUUGAUAUGUAUUUCAUGUCUUGGAUGAAUUUGUACUAUCAAAGGCUUGUUCUUUAAGCCUCUGGAAGUAUCAUUUCCUAACGUAAUUUGUUUGUUAUUGUUCAGUUAGAAAUAAUCUACUUUUCUUAAUGAAUUUGAUCAAUUGCUGAACUAUAAUAUAUGCAUAUGUAUAUCUAAGCUUGUUUACGCACUUUGAAAUCAAGCACUUUAAUAGGCAGACUCUUGAGUGGUUGGAUUUUGGUUAGAAUUGCAGAGGAUGAGGUGCAUUCAGUCCAACUUUACUACACUGGUCAUAUUAAAGGGUUGGAUUUUUAAAUUCAGUGGUAUAGAGCUUGAUAUGGUCUCGGCUUGAUGAAGUACUUGAGCAUGGUUGAUCAGUCCAUAUUGAUCAGGACUCUCCAUGAUUUUUCUUGCAUGAAGCUCGUAGGGAUCAAAUCAGUGGAACAUAGUAGAAGUAAUUACAUGGUAGAAACAACUAAUGUUAAUUAUUGGUGCCCGUGUAG
rnacentral:lncRNA from 1 species